AUUGAACGCUGGCGGCGUGCUUAACACAUGCAAGUCGAACGGUAAGGCGGGGCAACCUGGCGACGAGCGGCGAACGGGUGAGUAAUGCUUUGGAAUCUGCCUGUUAGUGGGGAAUAACUCGGGGAAACUCGAGCUAAUACCGCAUACGUCCUACGGGAGAAAGCGGGGGAUCGCAAGACCUCGCGCUAACAGAUGAGCCAAAGUCGGAUUAGCUAGUUGGUGGGGUAAAGGCCUACCAAGGCGACGAUCCGUAGCUGGUCUGAGAGGACGACCAGCCACACUGGGACUGAGACACGGCCCAGACUCCUACGGGAGGCAGCAGUGGGGAAUAUUGGACAAUGGGGGGAAACCCUGAUCCAGCGACGCCGCGUGUGUGAAGAAGGCCUGCGGGUUGUAAAGCACUUUUAGUGGGGAAGAAAAGUCUUGGGCUAACACCCUUGGAUCUUGACCUAACCCAAAGAAAAAGCACCGGCUAACUCUGUGCCAGCAGCCGCAGUAA
rnacentral:rRNA from 1 species